AACGAACGCUGGCGGCGUGCCUAACACAUGCAAGUCGUGCGAGAAAGUUCCUUCGGGAGCGAGUAAAGCGGCGCACGGGUGAGUAACACGUAGGUAACCUGCCCCCCAGUCUGGAACAACCAGAGGAAACUCUAGCUAAUGCCGGAUGAGACCACGAUCCCUUCGGGGGUUGCGGCCAAAGAUGGCCUCUACUUGUAAGCUAUCGCUGAGGGAUGGGCCUGCGGGCCAUUAGCUUGUUGGUGAGGUAACGGCUCACCAAGGCUUCGACGGGUAGCUGGUCUGAGAGGACGAUCAGCCACACUGGCACUGCGACACGGGCCAGACUCCUACGGGAGGCAGCAGUAAGGAAUAUUGCGCAAUGGACGAAAGUCUGACGCAGCGACGCCGCGUGGGGGA
rnacentral:rRNA from 1 species